rnacentral:lncRNA from 1 species
GCCUGUUUGGAAGGGGACCGAGGGCGAGAUUGCUUAGGGUGAGAGGAGGAAGUAAUCUUCGACGGGCCAGCUUGCGUAGUAACUACAGCAAGCUGUGCUUUGUCCUUUCCGGCUUUCCACCGAACCUCCUGACCGCUAGCAUACAGGAUUAGCUUCUCUAAAUCCUGCCAGUCUUUGCCCUCAUCGUCCGUAGCGCAGCGACCGCGCAGCACAGGAACUAAG